rnacentral:rRNA from 1 species
UACGUAAGGUCCGAGCGUUGUCCGGAAUCAUUGGGCAUAAAGGGUACGUAGGCGGAUAAGCAAGUUAGAAGUGAAAUCCUAUAGCUCAACUAUAGUAAGCUUUUAAGACUGCACAGCUUGAGGUAUGGAAGGGAAAGUGGAAUUCCUAGUGUAGCGGUGAAAUGCGCAGAUAUUAGGAGGAAUACCGGUGGCGAAGGCGACUCUCUGGCCCUGAACUGACGCUGAUGUACGAAAGCGUGGGUAGCAAACAGG